rnacentral:rRNA from 1 species
AUUGAACGCUGGCGGCAGGCCUAACACAUGCAAGUCGAGCGGAUGAAGGGAGCUUGCUCCUGGAUUCAGCGGCGGACGGGUGAGUAAUGCCUAGGAAUCUGCCUGGCAGUGGGGGAUAACGUCCGGAAACGGGCGCUAAUACCGCAUACGUCCUGAGGGUGAAAGUGGGGGAUCUUCGGACCUCACGCUAUCAGAUGAGCCUAGGUGGGAUUAGCUAGUUGGUGGGGUAAAGGCCUACCAAGGCGACGAUCCGUAACUGGUCUGAGUGGAUGAUCAGUCACACUGGAACUGAGACACGGUCCAGACUCCUACGGGAGGCAGCAGUGGGGAAUAUUAGGCAAUGGGCGAAAGCCUGAUCCAGCCAUGCCGCGUGUGUGAAGAAGGUCUUCGGAUUGUAAAGCACUUUAAGUUGGGAGGAAGGGCAGUAAGUUAAUACGUUGCUGUUUUGACGUUACCAACAGAAUAAGCACCGGCUAACUUCGUG